rnacentral:rRNA from 1 species
UCAAACCUCCGAGAAAAACUUCUAAGUUAUGUUUAAAGCAGCCCGUACCGCAAACCGACGCAGGUGGGUGGGAUGAAUAUUCUAAGGCGCUCGGGUGAGCCGUGGAGAAGGAACUAGGCAAAUUGACGCUGUAACUUCGGGAUAAAGCGUACCCUCUACGUAAGUAGAAGGUCUCAGUAAAAUGGUGCAACCAACUGUUUAGCAAAAACACAGGGCCCUGCAAAAUCGAAAGAUGACGUAUAGAGCCUGAUACCUGCCCGGUGCUGGAAGGUUAAGGAAGGGUGUUCGUCGCAAGACAAAGCUCCUGACUGAAGCCCCAGUAAACGGCGGCCGUAACGAUAACGGUCCUAAGGUAGCGAAAUUCCUUGUCGGGUAAGUUCCGACCUGCACGAAUGGUCUAAUGAGUUGCACACUGUCUCCUCCACGAGCCCGGUGAAAUUGUAGUAUCGGUGAAGAUGCCGGUUACCCGUCACGGGACGGAAAGACCCCAUGAACCUUCACUACAACUUUGCAUUGAUUUUGAAUUUUUGAUGUGUAGGUUAGUUGGGAGACUUUGAAGCGGUGUCGCUAGGCAUCGUGGAGUCAACGUUGAAAUACCAACCUUUAAACAUUUAGAAUCUAACCCGCCAAUGGUGGGCACAGUGCAUGGUGGGUAGUUUGACUGGGGUGGUCGCCUCCUAAAAUGUAACGGAGGCUUGCAAUGGUUCCCUCAGUACGGUUGGUAAUCGUACAUAGAGCGUAUUAGUAUAAGGGAGCUUGACUGUGAGACUUACAAGUCGAGCAGGGACGAAAGUCGGCUGAAGUGAUCCGGUGGUUCUGUAUGGAAGGGCCAUCGCUCAAAGGAUAAAAGGUACUCUGGGGAUAACAGGCUGAUCUCCCCCAAGAGCUCAUAUCGACGGGGAGGUUUGGCACCUCGAUGUCGGUUCGUCACAUCCUGGGGCUGGAGAAGGUCCCAAGGGUUCGGCUGUUCGCCGAUUAAAGUGGCACGUGAACUGGGUUCAGAACGUCGCAAGACAGUUCGGUCCCUAUCUGUGAUGGGCGUUAGUAAAUUGAGAGGACAUGACCUUAGUACGAGAGGACCGGGUCGUAUGUACCGCUGGUGUAUCUGUUGUGCCGCCAGGUGCAAUGCAGAGUAGCUAUGUACAGGCAGGAUAAACGCUGAAAGCAUCUAAGCGUGAAACCUUCCUCAAGAUGAGUUUACUUUUAAGGGUCGUCGAAGACUACGACGUUG